rnacentral:rRNA from 1 species
UGGGGAAUUUUGGACAAUGGGGGAAACCCUGAUCCAGCCAUCCCGCGUGUGCGAUGAAGGCCUUCGGGUUGUAAAGCACUUUUGGCAGGAAAGAAACGUCGCGGGUUAAUACCCCGCGAAACUGACGGUACCUGCAGAAUAAGCACCGGCUAACUACGUGCCAGCAGCCGCGGUAAUACGUAGGGUGCAAGCGUUAAUCGGAAUUACUGGGCGUAAAGCGUGCGCAGGCGGUUCGGAAAGAAAGAUGUGAAAUCCCAGAGCUUAACUUUGGAACUGCAUUUUUAACUACCGGGCUAGAGUGUGUCAGAGGGAGGUGGAAUUCCGCGUGUAGCAGUGAAAUGCGUAGAUAUGCGGAGGAACACCGAUGGCGAGGGCAGCCUCCUGGGAUAACACUGACGCUCAUGCACGAAAGCGUGGGGAGCAAACAGGAUUAGAUACCCUGGUAGUCCACGCCCUAAACGAUGUCAACUAGCUGUUGGGGCCUUCGGGCCUUGGUAGCGCAGCUAACGCGUGAAGUUGACCGCCUGGGGAGUACGGUCGCAAGAUUAAAACUCAAAGGAAUUGACGGGGUCGAU